CCGAUUCCAAAACACGUGUAGGGAAAAGUAUGGAGUUUCCCACUUCAAAGCAUAUGACUCGUGUGAUGAAUUCUCUGAUGCAAAAGGCGAGACUAGUAUCGCAGAAUGGGUCAAAAGCAAGAAGCCAAUCUCAUGUCCAUGGAUCAAAGCUUACAGAGACAUAUGACUUUAACAUCACCAAAGCUGACAAGAUCUUUGAUCUCCUGCUACAGGAAGGACAAAUU
rnacentral:lncRNA from 1 species